GACGAACGCUGGCGGCGUGCUUAACACAUGCAAGUCGAACGGAAAGGCCCCUUUGGGGGUACUCGAGUGGCGAACGGGUGAGUAACACGUGAGUAACCUGCCCUUGACUUCGGGAUAACUUCAGGAAACUGGGGCUAAUACCGGAUAGGAAUCCUUGCUGCAUGGUGGGGGUUGGAAAGCUUCGGCGGUUUUGGAUGGACUCGCGGCUUAUCAGCUUGUUGGUGGGGUAGUGGCUUACCAAGGCUUUGACGGGUAGCCGGCCUGAGAGGGCGACCGGCCACAUUGGGACUGAGAGACUGCCCAGACUCCUACGGGAGGCAGCAGUGGGGAAUAUUGCACAAUGGGCGGAAGCCUGAUGCAGCAACGCCGCGUGCGGGAUGACGGCCUUCGGGUUGUAAACCGCUUUCAGCAGGGGCGAAGCUUGUGGUGACGGUACCUGCAGAAGAAGCACCGGCUAACUACGUG
rnacentral:rRNA from 1 species